UACGUAGGGUGCGAGCGUUGUCCGGAAUUAUUGGGCGUAAAGGGCUCGUAGGCGGUCUGUCGCGUCGGUAGUGAAAACUCAGGGCUUAACCCUGAGCCUGCUUCCGAUACGGGCAGACUAGAGUGAUGUAGGGGAGACUGGAAUUCCUGGUGUAGCGGUGAAAUGCGCAGAUAUCAGGAGGAACACCGAUGGCGAAGGCAGGUCUCUGGGCAUUAACUGACGCUGAGGAGCGAAAGCAUGGGGAGCGAACAGG
rnacentral:rRNA from 1 species